rnacentral:miRNA from 1 species
GACGGCGCCCUGACCUCUGUCC